rnacentral:rRNA from 1 species
AUUGAACGCUGGCGGCAUGCUUUACACAUGCAAGUCGAACGGCAGCGCGGGCUUCGGCCUGGCGGCGAGUGGCGAACGGGUGAGUAAUGCAUCGGAACGUGCCCAGUAGUGGGGGAUAGCCCGGCGAAAGCCGGAUUAAUACCGCAUACGACCUGAGGGUGAAAGCGGGGGACCGAAAGGCCUCGCGCUAUUGGAGCGGCCGAUGUCGGAUUAGCUAGUUGGUGGGGUAAAGGCUUACCGAGGCGACGAUCCGUAGCUGGUCUGAGAGGACGACCAGCCACACUGGGACUGAGACACGGCCCAGACUCCUACGGGAGGCAGCAGUGGGGAAUUUUGGACAAUGGGGGCAACCCUGAUCCAGCCAUGCCGCGUGAGGGAAGAAGGCCUUCGGGUUGUAAACCGCUUUUGUUCGGGAAGAAAUCCUCUGGGCUAAUACCCCGGGGGGAUGACGGUACCGGAAGAAUAAGCACCGGCUAACUACGUG